rnacentral:misc_RNA from 1 species
UCCGGUUUGUCACCGGCAGUCUCAUUAGAGUGCCCAACUGAAUGUAGCAACUAAUGACAAGGGUUGCGCUCGUUGCGGGACUUAACCCAACAUCUCACGACACGAGCUGACGACAGCCAUGCAGCACCUGUGCAAGCUCCCUUGCGGGUCGUUCCGCUUUCGCUUCACUACCACCUGCAUGUCAAGCCCAGGUAAGGUUCUUCGCGUUGCAUCGAAUUAAGCAACAUGCUCCGCCGCUUGUGCGGGGCCCCGUCAAUUCCUUUGAGUUUUAGCCUUGCGGCCGUACUCCCCAGGCGGGGUGCUUAAUGCGUUAGCUUCGGCACGGACGGGGUCGAUGUCCGCCCACACCUAGCACCCAACGUUUACGGCUAGGACUAC